rnacentral:lncRNA from 1 species
CGGUGUUUGGGUUGUAAGUGUUGCGUUGCAAAAUCAAUCGGUUUUUGUAGUAAUUAAUUAGAUAACAAGACAGUAAGUGAGUAUAAUAAAUAUUAUGUUUCUUUGGAAGUUUGAAUUUGACAAAAGUCAGUAUCAACGAGUUUGGGUAGUUCGUCGUGAGUAAGAAACCGGUCCUCUCGAAAACUUGAACUGUCGUAAAUUAUAUCAUCAUAAAGAGCAAGUUGACAAGAAUUUCGCCGGCGUGUGAAGAUAGAAAACUUUCGGUAUAAAAAUCAAAAAUGCUGCUGUGAAGAAUAAAACAAAAGUUAAAGCAUAAUAAACAAUAGUAGUGCACUGAACACCCCCGCUCCUAGAUACUGAAUUUGCUAAUUAUAGAUGUAUAGAAAUAUUUUUAUAAACUUGCUUUGUUUUUCAUUAAUAAAUGCCUGUUUUUCCUGUAAACUUUGAUUAGAACUUCUUUAACAGAAUCCUGCUCUCUCUUUUAAAAUAUAUCAAGAGCAGUAAAUUUUCUAACUGGACAUAAAAUUAUUUAGCUCCUUCAUACCAAC